AUCGUAGCAUUGCCGUCCGGCCUCAAGCAGCGAGUGAAAAGGGAAUCCGGUGGGAAUCCGGAGCUGACGCGCAGCGGUAUGGGGAAGUCACGGCGAUAGCGUAACCACGCAGACACUGUCCACUGCAGGACGGGAAGUCAUCGCCCGGUGUCGGCGGCUCUCUGCCGCCGGCAAAUCCCAAGCCCGAAGACCUGCCGGUAUUACGUCGCAAUG
rnacentral:ncRNA from 2 species